AUGAUGAGGAGCUUGCUCCUCUGAUUUAGCGGCGGACGGGUGAGUAACACGUGGGUAAUCUGCCUGUAAGACGGGGAUAACUCCGGGAAACCGGGGCUAAUACCGGAUAAUAAGAGAAGAAGCAUUUCUUCUUUUUGAAAGUCGGUUUCGGCUGACACUUACAGAUGAGCCCGCGGCGCAUUAGCUAGUUGGUGAGGUAACGGCUCACCAAGGCGACGAUGCGUAGCCGACCUGAGAGGGUGAUCGGCCACACUGGGACUGAGACACGGCCCAGACUCCUACGGGAGGCAGCAGUAGGGAAUCUUCGGCAAUGGGCGAAAGCCUGACCGAGCAACGCCGCGUGAGCGAUGAAGGCCUUCGGGUCGUAAAGCUCUGUUGUUAGAGAAGAACAAGUACGAGAGUAACUGCUCGUACCUUGACGGUACCUAACCAGAAAGCCACGGCUAACUACGUGCCAGCAGCCGCGGUAAUACGUAGGUGGCAAGCGUUAUCCGGAAUUAUUGGGCGUAAAGCGCGCGCAGGCGGUCUCUUAAGUCUGAUGUGAAAGCCCACGGCUCAACCGUGGAGGGUCAUUGGAAACUGGGAGACUUGAGUGCAGGAGAGAAAAGUGGAAUUCCACGUGUAGCGGUGAAAUGCGUAGAGAUGUGGAGGAACACCAGUGGCGAAGGCGGCUUUUUGGCCUGUAACUGACGCUGAGGCGCGAAAGCGUGGGGAGCAAACAGGAUUAGAUACCCCUGGUAGUCCACGCCCGUAAACGAUGAGUGCUAGGUGUUGGGGGGUUCCACCCUCAGUGCUGAA
rnacentral:rRNA from 1 species